rnacentral:rRNA from 1 species
GACAGAGGGUGCAAACGUUGUUCGGAAUUACUGGGCGUAAAGCGCGUGUAGGCGGCCCUGCAAGUCGGAUGUGAAAUCCCACGGCUCAACCGUGGAAGUGCAUUCGAAACUGCAGGGCUAGAGUCCUGGAGAGGAAGGUGGAAUGCUUGGUGUAGAGGUGAAAUUCGUAGAUAUCAAGCGGAACACCGGUGGCGAAGGCGGCCUUCUGGACAGUGACUGACGCUGAGACGCGAAAGCUAGGGGAGCAAACAGG